GUGCUCGCCUUGGCAGUGCGUAUGCUAAAAUUGGAGCAAUACCGAGACUACCAUGGGCCCUGUGCAAGGAUGACACGCAAAUUCAUGUAGUAUUCCAUCCUUUU
ensembl:snRNA U6 U6 spliceosomal RNA